GCUGCCCUUCGAUAACGAACGAGACCUUACUCUGCUAAAUAGCCAGGCUAACUUUGGUUGGUCGCCGGCUUCUUAGAGAGACUAUCAACUCAAGUUGAUGGAAGUUUGAGGCAAUAACAGGUCUGUGAUGCCCUUAGAUGUUCUGGGCCGCACGCGCGCUACACUGACAGAGCCAACGAGUUCUUUUCCUUGUUCGAAAGAAUUGGGUAAUCUUGUUAAACUCUGUCGUGCUGGGGAUAAAGCAUUGCAAUUAUUGCUUUUCAACGAGGAAUGCCUAGUAAGCGCGUAUCAUCAGCAUGCGUUGAUUACGUCCCUGACCUUUGUACACACCGCCCGUCGCUACUACCGAUGAAG
rnacentral:rRNA from 1 species